rnacentral:rRNA from 1 species
UAUGUGAUCGUCUCUCGCAUAUCAAUAAGCGGAGGAAAAGAAACUAACAAGGAUUCCCCUAGUAACGGCGAGUGAAGCGGGAAGAGCUCAAAUUUGAAAUCUUAAAGGGUUUCCCUUUACGAAUUGUAGUUUAAAGAAGUGUUUUCUGUUGAGGUUUUGGUAAAAGUUCUUUGGAAUAGGACAUCAUAGAGGGUGAGAAUCCCGUAUUUGACCUUUACUUUCAACUUUGUGAUACACUUUCAAAGAGUCGGAUUGUUUGGGAAUGCAGUCCAAAAUGGGUGGUAAAUUUCAUCUAAAGCUAAAUAUUGGCGAGAGGCCGAUAGCGAACAAGUACCGUGAGGGAAAGAUGAAAAGAACUUUGAAAAGAGAGUUAAACAGUACGUGAAAUUGUCAAAAGGGAAGCGUUUGACACCAGUGUUGUUUUUCUGAAAAUCAAUUAAAGAACUGUUUAUGCUAAGUUGUUUAGACUUUAUCAGCUAUCUGCUUAGUUUUGAGCUUUUCUUUAAUGCACUUUUCAGUUAACAAGUCAACAUCAAUUUCUUUUGCUGUAAAAAAGCUUGAGGAAGGUGGCUUGAGAUUCGUCUUAAGUGCUUAUAGCCUCUUGCCUAUGCAGUCGGAGAGAUUGAGGUCUGCAGCGUAGAUCCUUCGGGGCUAAAUGCAUUUGUGCUAAGUUAUAGCAUUUUAUAGACAACUUGUUGACUAUGAUUUGUCUUGUAGCUUACUCGCUUAUGUUAUUUUACCUACGCUUAGGAUGUUGAACGCGCACAGAGUCUC